rnacentral:rRNA from 1 species
GACGAACGCUGGCGGCGUGCCUAAUACAUGCAAGUAGAACGCACAGUUUAUACCGUAGCUUGCUACACCAUAAACUGUGAGUUGCGAACGGGUGAGUAACGCGUAGGUAACCUGCCUGGUAGCUGGGGAUAACUAUUGGAAACGAUAGCUAAUACCGCAUGAUAUUAAUUAUUGCAUGAUAAUUGAUUGAAAGAUGCAAUGGCAUCACUACCAGAUGGACCUGCGUUGUAUUAGCUAGUAGGUGAGGUAACGGCUCACCUAGGCGACGAUACAUGGCCGAACUGAGAGGGUGAUCGGCCACACUGGGACUGAGACACGGCCCAGACGCCUACGGGAGGCAGCAGUAGGGAAUCUUCGGCAAUGGACGAAAGUCUGACCGAGCAACGCCGCGUGAGUGAAGAAGGUUUUCGGAUCGUAAAGCUCUGUUGUAAGAGAAGAACGGGUGUGAGAGUGGAAAGUUCACACUGUGACGGUAUCUUACCAGAAAGGGACGGCUAACUACGUG